GACGAACGCUGGCGGCGUGCCUAAUACAUGCAAGUCGAACGAACCGCGACUAAGUGCUUGCACUAAGUCAAGGUGAGUGGCGAACGGGUGAGUAACACGUGGGUAACCUACCUCAUAGUGGGGGAUAACAGUCGGAAACGACUGCUAAUACCGCAUAGGACAUAGGAUCACAUGAUCCAGUGAGGAAAGGUGGCGCAAGCUAUCGCUAAGAGAUGGACCCGCGGUGCAUUAGCUAGUUGGUAGGGUAAAGGCCUACCAAGGCGAUGAUGCAUAGCCGACCUGAGAGGGUGAUCGGCCACAUUGGGACUGAGACACGGCCCAAACUCCUACGGGAGGCAGCAGUAGGGAAUCUGCCGCAAUGGACGCAAGUCUGACGGAGCAACGCCGCGUGAGUGAAGAAGGUCUUCGGAUCGUAAAGCUCUGUUGUUAGAGAAGAACAGCGCAUAGAGUAACUGCUAUGCGUGUGACGGUAUCUAACCAGAAAGCCACGGCUAACUACGUG
rnacentral:rRNA from 1 species